rnacentral:rRNA from 1 species
CAAUAGCGUAUAUUAAAGUUGUUGCGGUUAAAAGCUCGUAGUUGGAUUUCUGUUGAGGAUGGCCGGUCCGUACUUUGUGCGUGUAUCUGGUUCAGCCUUGGCAUCCUCUUGGGAACGGUUCUUGUGUUUCAUUACAUGGGCGGUGAUUUCAAGACUUUUACUUUGAGGAAAUUAGAGUGUUCACGGCAGGCAUUCGCCUUGAAUACAUUAGCAUGGAAUAAUAAUAUAGGACCUUGGUACUAUUUUGUUGGUUUCUAGAACUAAGGUAAUGAUUAAUAGGGAUAAUUGGGGCGGCAUUCGUAUUAACGCGUCAGAGGUGGAAUUCUUGGAUUGCGUUACGACGAACUACUGCGAAAGCAUUUGCCAAGGAU